rnacentral:lncRNA from 1 species
AUUUUAUAUAUAUAUAAAAUUUCUCAAUAAUCCUGCAUUUUCUUAUUUUUCUCACAUUUCUGCUACAUUUUUCAUUUUUAAAAUCAUUCCUGGCUAUUUCAUGUUCUUUCUUACAGUUGAGAAUGGGAUCAUUUUUUUUCUAUUGUAUUUUGAGUAUUGUUUGCCUAUAUUAAAAUUGCUACUUUACUGUAUGUGUAUGUGCAUAUGGAUGUGUGUGUAUGAUAUAAAUGGAAUUAUUUGCCAGGAUGUCAAAAAGACCUUUGGCAUCACAACCUUUCUUGUAAAAUAACUUAAAAUUUAGUCUCUGAACAGUGGAUUUUUAAUACAGAGUAUAUUGAAUCAAUGGCCUAAUGUAUAAACAGCUUCAAAAUUGCAAGUUUUUUUUAAAGAUCACAACAAAUAUAGUUUUAAACUUUUCUGACUGUUUGGGAUGUAUCUAAGAAAAUAUAAGAAUUAACAAGAAAACAGCCAUACACGUAGUAGUGUCCAUACACACAAUAAAGCAGUAGUUUUAACAUAGGCAAGCAAUGUUCAAAAUACAAUUAGAAAAAAAAAAUGAUUCAAUUCACAAUGAAAUAACCAAGAAAGAUAAAAAAUGAAAAAUGUUGGAGAAACAUAUGGAAAAAUAAGAACAAUGCAAGACUGUUGAGAAAUUUUGUAUAAGAUUUUACUAAUUGGAAAGAUAUAAGCUACCUAAAUGAGAACACAAGAUUUUUCAUGUGCAAACUUCAAGUGCAUUACCCUAGUUUAUAUGCAUACUAUUCCUUUCUAAUGAAAAUAUCUAUAAUUCAGAUAUCUUUACUAAUAAAGAAACUGAAGCAAAAUAAAAUGACUUCUCAAAAGUCACAAUCUUUGUAAUGUCUUUAAGAUCAUAAACCCCAAUAAAGCUCUGUAAAUGCUCAGAUUACAGUUUGAUCCUCAUUGAAGUAUCAGAAUGAAAUUCUGCUGCUUCAAAUGGUCUAGAAACCAUUUACUAGUUUCCCAAGCACAGGAAGAAUAGGAAGAAUAGGAUUAGGCUUUGCUCUGCUGGAAGAACCUUCUUGGGACCUUUCUCUCCCUUCUCCUUCCAUACUGAAUACACAUCUCUUCUCUACUUAACCAAACUAUUAAAAUCUCUGUUGUGAUACACUUGUUUGUUUCUUUCCUAGGGAAAGCAUUUGCUAGAAUAAGGAUGGUUGAACAUAUUAGUCACUUUUAAUGGAAUCCCAUCUCUCCAUUUCUUAUUCAUUAUGUAAUAAAUAUUUACGGAGUAUUUUAGUGUUCCCUGCAUUGAAUUUUACAACCAUUCCCUACAUUGAAUUUGAGGUCCAUCUUUGUCAUAUAUAGCUAUAAAAUGCAGAUUUGCCUUCUUGAUAUGAGCUGGUGAAGUGGCACCCCUUCUCCACAGAAAAGCCCUCUUCACCAUAGCUGAUUUUAGGACUGUCAGCAAAAGAGUCUCUGUGAAAGAGUCCAGUGUAGAUAAACUUCCUAUUUUCAUGUCGCCCUGUUUUACUUGGCCACUGGCUGGGAAGAUAUCAGCACUCCAGGUGCUGGACACCCCCUUACUAGUACUUUGUAGAAAUGUGCAAACAAAGCCUCUGGCCUUGAGCUGGGCUUUACAGAGAUGUCUACAUUUUUAAGAUCAGUUACAAAUUGGCUCCAUGGUAACAAUUGGCAGGGGGAGGAAAGAAAGGGGAAAAGAAGUUCUCCCCUUCUCAGGUGUUAUCCUUGAAGAGUUAACUUGCCCAAAAUAGUGAAAGAAAAAAGCUGCUUUUAUGUGAACUUUUGCAAACUGUGAACUUCUGAGCCCCUCCCCUUACAUGCUGG